CUUCUCCUCUACCUGCAGGUGAGAAAGGAAGUCUACUAAAUCAUGGCAUCUGAAAGUCCCUCAGGAGCCAUAGACUUGAGAUGGCAGGUUUUAAUUUUAUGCAUACUUACCAAUGAAUACAGCUUGAUUAUCACAGUGGUAUUUCCAAGGUUUUAUCUUAAACGAAAAGGAUUUAUCUACUUAUUUGUUUCUAGAUACACUGGCCCAUCUAGUCCAGUAUUCUGUUCACUUUAUGGCCAAUCACUGACCUACAGGAAACCCGUAAGCCGGAGUCUCCUUUUCACAGCAGCUGUGCACCUGAUCAACAUUUUCAGAGAGCUGUCCAAAAUGCUCUUGUAG
rnacentral:lncRNA from 1 species